CAAAAACAUAGCCUAUAGCAACACAAGUAUUAUAGGCGUAGCCUGCCCAGUGAAACUCUUUUAAACGGCCGCGGUAUCCUAACCGUGCAAAGGUAGCGCAAUCACUUGUCCCCUAAAUAGGGACCAGUAUKAAUGGCCAAAUGAGGGUCUACCUGUCUCCUGCGCCUAAUCAAUGAAACUGAUCUCCCGGUACAAAAGCCGGAAUAGCCACAUAAGACGAGAAGACCCUGUGGAGCUUCAAACUAGUAACUACCAGCACUAGUUACCCGUUUUAAGUUGGGGCAACUUUGGAAAUAAAAUAACCUCCAAGACAAACAGGCACCUACCCCUGAACUAAGGUCAACACACCAAAGGAAAACCUUCAGACCCAGUAAUACUGAGCAACGAACCAAGUUACCCCAGGGAUAACAGCGCUAUCUUCCCCCAGAGUUCAUAUCGACAGGAAGGAUUACGACCUCGAUGUUGGAUCAGGACAUCCAAGUGGUGCAGCCGCCACUAAAGGUUCGUUUGUUCAACGAUUAAAGUCCUACGUGAUCUGAGUU
rnacentral:rRNA from 1 species